CAUCCCCCCUCUAUACCCUGCCUGCCACUAAUUCAAUAUAAAUGUAAAUUACCUAGAGAAAAGAAUAACCAAAUCUCAUUUUAUUUACAUGACUAAUCACAAUAAAGUCAGGCAGAUGAAAUAUGAAUGAAAUAUAUGGUUGGCGUUUGAAAGCAAGGAGGGGUCUGUAUCGCCUUAGGGACUCUUUGAACUUCUUGUUUUAUAUCAUCUUUGUUGUUUCACGUUGGUUACAUCAAUAUACCUUUUUGCACUUGUGCUCAACUUGCUGUAAUAGAUGUGUGUAUCUCUUUUUUCUACCAUCUGAUUGUAUUCACACUGCCAAGGGCGUCACGAGGUAAUAUGUUUUCCUUUCAGCUUACUUUUUCUGUGCUACACAUCUUAUGUCAGAAGGCUGAAAUUCACAGAAGCUACAUGGAAGAAAAAAAAAAAGAUUUAAUGUUGGUUUGAACACCUUAGGCGAUCCAUCCAGACAGCAAGAAGACAGGGGUUUAACAGUGAUUCAUUCCCACUCUGCUCUGCUCACACCCACAGACAUCACAACCGAAGACCCCUUAGAGGAUGAGUUUCGUCGUCGCAGACAGAACACGCUUCCUGGCCUCAGCCCGCACCAGCGCUACCUGAGAAACUCCGCCCAGAACCCCUCGGAGGAAGAGGAGGAGCAUGGCCUACAGAGCCUGGGACUAACGAGAGGACACAUGGACACCAAGAGAAAGAAACUGUGGCUAAAGGAGGAGUCCAAAAAGAAAAGAGCUCCUCGACUCUUCCCACGAUUUGGUGGACUUGGUGCUUUUUUUAAACACUCAGCCAAACACUUACACGCACACACACACACACCUACAUAUUUGUUGGCAUAAGCGCCAUCAAUCAUACGUGGCAUUAGUUCAUCUUUGCUAUGUAUCAGAGGCCCAACAUCCCCACUGCUGUGCCAUAUCUCUUCUGUCUAUCAGCUGCAGUGCAGAGCGUAACUCCUGCAUGCUUUCAUCAGCCAAAUGGUAGCCCUGCAGAGACCUCACUUCAAUGUUUUGUUUUGUCCAAGGUACAUUUUUAGUGUUUAAGCUUUUGCUAUUGCUGUAUUUAUUGUGGGUGGGCCCUGCGGAUGUACAGAGAGCAUUCAGAAGCUUAAUUAAUCUCCUACAAUUGGACUUUUCCACUUUUUACAGCAUGUUUUGAGAGAGUGAUGUGUGUUUGAAAGGGUUCAGGUGGAAGAAGAAUUGCAGUAGCAGCCUUGUUUGUGAAAAUUACUGCACUAAUACUGUAUAGCGUAUGUGAGUAUAAGUGAAGGUCAAGCUAUUCAGUGAAUCCUUCAAUAGAGACAAAGAGAGGGAAGGAAUAUCUUGGGAAUGUGAGAGUAAAACAGAAUGAAAGCAUUGAAGAGUGAGCUUUAUUACAGAAAGAGAUGAACAUGUUCUGUUCACUCUUGCAUCACACAUAAAAAAUGACUAUCAACAAUCUGGCAGUAACAUUGUCCACUCUUUGCCACUACUCCCACGGGGUGAAAAUAGCUUUUAACCCCUCUCAAAGUCAUUAUUUUCUUUUUUGUAAGAUUCUUUGUACAGAGUGGAUUCAGUAACAUGUUAACCUUCCAUGAGUGUUUCAUAAAAGAUUCUUUAAACAAAAGGACAGCUUCCCCCAUCUGGGUUGUCCUUUACUGGUUGUUCUCAUGAUUACAGUAAGCGGAAAUGUGGAAAUGUCUGAGAAAUGUUCAUUUUUUAUGGACUCCUGCCAAUAAAUGCUUAAAGUAAAACAUG